rnacentral:rRNA from 1 species
AUGGCUGCUGCAAUCAUGAGCCCUCACCAUCUUCUCUCUGUCUGCGCGUACAUCAUCGUUUGCCUCUGCUACUUGCUCGGUCUGGCUACCGCGCUCUCCUUCAGCUUCAACUUCUCCAGCCCCGGCUCCGGCGAUCUCUGCGACAUGGAGCUCAGCUGCGAACGUGACGCAUGGAUGGGUUCUGGCGCCAUCGACCUAACGAGGAACUACAUCGCAGCCAACGUCUUCAGUGUUGGCCGGGCAUCGUACGCUCGCCCGGUGCCGCUCUGGGACGACGCCACCGGCGAGGCGGCCAGCUUCUCCUCCAACUUCACGUUCCAGAUCAAGCCCCAAAACAGAUCGGAAGACAAUGUUGGUCUAUGUAACUCGAGCCUCACCAGCGACUCUAGUGCUGACGGUAUAUCUUUCUUCCUGGCGCACUACCCGUCGAGGCUCCUUCCCGACAGCGGGGGCGAAAACCUUGCUCUUUUCAAUUUCAGUAAUCGCUUCAACGUCACCGGUGAUGCGCGGUUAGUCGCGGUGGAGUUCGACACCUACCUCAACCCCUGGGACCACAGCGACAACCACAUGGGCAUAGACGUCAACUCCCUCAACUCCACGGCCUACACGAACGUGACCAAGCGCCUAGUCUCGAAUGACGCCAUCAUGACCGCCCAAAUCAGCUACGACAACCGCACCGGUCUUCUGGUCGCCCUUCUCCAGAUCAACGGUGACGAGCCGCCAUACAGCAUAAGCACGUCGGUGGACAUGAAGAGGGAGCUACCCAGCAAUCCACGGCGACGCCUACCACCUGUGCAUGUGCUGGUGCCAUCAGCAACAACAGCUUUUCUUGUGUUGCUCUGCAGUGCCGCCGCCAUCAUAGUUCGUCAGCGACGCAAACGUAAGCAAGCUGAGUUCGAGAAAGGGGUAGGACCUAGACGGUACCGCUACUGUGAGCUCGCAGCAGCCACAAAUGACUUCGCGGAGCAGGGGAAGCUUGGGCAAGGGGGCUUCGGUUGCGUCUACCAGGGCAGCGGCCUUAGCGACCACGACAGCCUGGUGGCCAUCAAGAUGCUCUCCAUGGGAUCAUCUGCGCAGGGGAGGAAAGAGUUCGAGGCGGAGGUGAAGAUUAUAAGCCGGCUCAGGCACCGGAACCUUGUGCACUUGCUAGGCUGGUCCGACAGUGGCAAGGGGCUCCUGCUCGUCUAUGAGUUCAUGCCAAAAGGCAGUCUCGACGGGCACAUUUACAGCGAGAACCGUCUCCUCACAUGGCCAGAAAGAUACAAGAUCAUCCUUGGCCUGGGAUCUGCACUACGCUAUCUCCACACAGAGUGCGACCAAUGUGUGUUACAUGGUGACAUAAAACCCGAAAACAUACUCCUCGACUCAUCAUGGAGCACCAAGCUGGCAGAUUUUGGGCUGGCAAGGCUUGUGGAUCAUGGAGCCGGGCUAGAGACGACGAAGAUCAUCAAGGGCACUCCAUGGUACAUAGACCCAGAGUUUAUUCGCACACACCAUCCGACCCCCAAAGCGGACAUCUACAGCUUCGGCGUCGUUCUGUUGGAGGUAGUGUCCGGCAAGCACCCACGAAUGGAGAAGAAAGAAAGGGUUAAUGAUGACAUCCCACUGCUCAUGUGGAUCUGGGACCUGUACGAGAAGGGUAGCAUCCUUGAAGCGGUGGAUGAAAGGCUACAUGGGGACAACCAGCAGCUCGACCACAACUGUAAGUGGCAGAUGCAUCAUGCUUUGGUCGUCGGGCUCUGGUGCACGCACCCACCCCUAGAGGCGCGACCGUCCAUUGUGCAACUCAUGAACGUCUUGCAGUCAGAGGACGUCAUGCCGCCGGCCCUGUCGUGGCCAUCCCCGGCUAACCGAUGUAGUGCUGACGGUAUGUCUUUGUUCCUGGUGCACUACCCGUCGAGGCUCCUCCCCAACAACGGGGGCGCAACCCUCGCUCUUCUCAAUUUCAGCAAUGUCUUCAAUACCACCAGCGAUGCGCGGUUAGUUGCGAUGGAGUUCGGCACCUACUUCAACCCGUGGGACCACAUCGACAACCACAUGGGCAUAGACGUCAACUCCCUCAACUCCACGGCCUACACCAACGUGACCAAACACCCGGGCUUAGCACUCACCAAGCAACUCAUCGGCUCACCGCUGCCAAUCUAA